rnacentral:rRNA from 1 species
GAUGAACGCUAGCGGCAGGCUUAACACAUGCAAGUCGAGGGGCAGCAUGACACGGAGAUUCGUCGAAGUGUUGAUGGCGACCGGCGCAAGGGUGCGUAACGCGUGAGCAACUUGCCCGUUUCUGGGGAAUAACCGGUGGAAACGCCGACUAAUACCCCAUAGCAUUGAUUUCAGGCAUCUGUUAUCAAUUAAAGAAUUUCGGAAACGGAUAGGCUCGCGUGACAUUAGCUAGAUGGCGGGGUAACGGCCCACCAUGGCGACGAUGUCUAGGGGUUCUGAGAGGAAGGUCCCCCCACACUGGAACUGAGACACGGUCCAGACUCCUACGGGAGGCAGCAGUGAGGAAUAUUGGUCAAUGGUCUGACGACUGAACCAGCCAUGCCGCGUGAAGGUGACGGCCCUAUGGGUCUUAAACUUCUUUGUCAAGGGAGCAAUAAGGCGUACGUGUACGUCGAUGAGAGUACCUUGCGAAUAAGCAUCGGCUAACUCCGUG